ensembl:ncRNA F40F8.13 ncRNA
UUCGAUGGUAAGCACAGUUUCAGGGCCUGGCGCCUGCCUGAAACCUGCCACUCUCGCGGUUGAGACGCAAGGCAGGCGUAGGUCCCCUUAAGGCCAGACAGGCAGGUAGGUUUCGGUGCCUACAUUGAAGCCUCAGGAAAAUGAAAUAAU